rnacentral:tRNA from 1 species
GCGCUCGUAGCUCAGUUGGAUAGAGCAUUGGAUUCCUAAUCCAAAGGUCGCAGGUUCGAAUCCUGCCGGGCGUAC